rnacentral:rRNA from 1 species
GGGGGUACACCCGAUCCCAUUCCGAACUCGGAAGUUAAGCCCUCCAUCACCGAUGAUACUGCGGGGUAGCUCGUGGGAAAGUAGGCCGACGCC